rnacentral:rRNA from 1 species
GAUGAACGCUGGCGGCGUGCCUAAUACAUGCAAGUCGAGCGAACAGAUAAGGAGCUUGCUCCUUUGACGUUAGCGGCGGACGGGUGAGUAACACGUGGAUAACCUACCUAUAAGACUGGGAUAACUUCGGGAAACCGGAGCUAAUACCGGAUAACAUAUUGAACCGCAUGGUUCAAUAGUGAAAGGCGGCUUUGCUGUCACUUAUAGAUGGAUCCGCGCCGUAUUAGCUAGUUGGUAAGGUAACGGCUUACCAAGGCAACGAUACGUAGCCGACCUGAGAGGGUGAUCGGCCACACUGGAACUGAGAAACGGUCCAGACUCCUACGGGAGGCAGCAGUAGGGAAUCUUCCGCAAUGGGCGAAAGCCUGACGGAGCAACGCCGCGUGAGUGAUGAAGGUCUUCGGAUCGUAAAACUCUGUUAUCAGGGAAGAACAAAUGUGUAAGUAACUGUGCACAUCUUGACGGUACCUGAUCAGAAAGCCACGGCUAACUACGUG